AAGAUGGUGUCCACAUCUCAGAUCCUUGGGCUUCUGUUCUUCUGGAUUUCAGUCUCCAGAGGUGACAUUGUGCUGACUCAGUCUCCAGACACCCUGUCUGUGACUCCAGGCGAUAAAGUCACCAUGGCCUGCAAGGCCAGCCAGGGUAUUAGCACAAUCUUACACUGGUAUCAACAAAAAACAAAUGAGGCUCCAAGGCUUCUCAUCAAGUAUGCUUCCCAGUCCAUCUCUGGGAUCCCCUCCAGGUUCAGUGGCAGUGGGUCAGGGACAGAUUUCACCCUCAGCAUCAACAAUGUGGAGCCUGAAGAUGUUGCAACUUAUUACUGUCAACAAAGCUACAACUGGCCUCCCACAGUGAUACAGACCUUAGCAAAAAACCACCAGAGAAGCAGAAGUGUGAGGCUGGUCUCUUUCAGCUGCUUCUGGCAGUUCCUCUACCUUCUUCAAAGUAUUUUACAGAUGCAGUCAGCCUUGCGAUUUACACAGAAGAUUGAAGUGAAGAGGCCUAGAAAGUUUUCUUGCCUCUGA